GGGAAAGUUACCCAGCAGCAGGGGGCGGCGACACUGGUCCCUAUAUUAGGGGACCAGAGGACGCCCCCAGGGCUCUUUUUCCUCCUGCUGCUGCUACCUGUCCGUCUCUGUGUUGCUCUGCUGUCUGUGCUUAAGGCUGUACACCCCGGGGUUUUGCUUUGCUUGUUUUCUGCUCUGUAAUUUUCUUGCUAAAUGUCUGUAUGUAUUUUUCCUGCUGUUCAUAUGACUCAGUGUAUUAAACUCUGUUCCAAGAAUUCUACUCUUUUACAGAGCAUCUUUUUGAGUGUCCUGGUUUUAAUUGGAUUUGGAUCUCCACAUCGUUGGUGGAAGAAGGCUAUCAGAAUGGCUUCAAAAUUUGCGACCACAAUUGGCGACGUACGAAGGGACAAGGAAUUAAGGUGAUUGCUGGGAGCCUUGGGGAAUGCCAAAGCCUUGCACAUCAGAGAACACCAAGCGGCCGCUAUAAUAAGGUAAGCAGAGUUUUUUUUUUCUGCUCAGUGUUGGUGUUGUCUGAGUGCAGAAUGGGGGUUCCACCUUGGCUCCAAGUAGAUUUCACCUAACCUUGAAAAGGACUUUAAUCAAAUGGUCGCUGUUAUUCUAAGUGAUAAAGUGUUACACUGUAAAAAUAAUGCUAGUUGCGGAUGCUGAAGGAGUGGAGUUUAAUACUGCAUCAUAUGUGUGUGUGUUAUUCCUGUAACUUGUGUGACCCGCGGGGGAAGUGUGAGUGAGCGCUGUGUGUGUGCGUAUUUGGGGUUUGUGUGUGUGAAAGGCUGCUCUGCCCUGUGCUGGAGUAUGACUCCAGGACUGUGUUGGGGGAGUUUGGGUUUAUUUUUCCGCUAUUCUUUAGUGCAUCUGAAGAAUAGGCGUAAGUUACGCAGAAGUAAAAAGUUGAAGUGAUGAAAAGUGAUAAAAGUGAUGAAAAGUGAAAUAUAUGUCGGCACCCCCAAGGUGGUUACCGCUGGAAACCUAGUUAUCCAUUUAGGUAGAUAAGGUGACACAGGCUAACUAGGUUAACCAUUUAAUUGGUUAACCUGGUUAACCCAAGUGAAUUGCUAGGUAGUCAGGACUGCUCGGGCUUUGGGGGAUUUUUGGGGAUAAAUUCCUAGCCAGUAACGCGGGGACUUGGGGCUCACAGUAGGGAUCUGAGGGCUUUCGAGUCCACCGGUCUGGACACGCUGGGUAACUGCGCGCGUCGCGGAAUGAAAGGCGACACCUUCGGCCCAAGUGUAAAUAUGUAAAUAGCUGUUACUAACCCUUAAGUAUAAUCGCUGCUGUAAAUAUUGCUAAGUAGUAGUCUAGAGUAUAACAAUGUAUUGCUGUAAAUAUUGCUUAAAAUAACUCUUGCUGUAAAUAAGAGGAAUACGCGUAAGGGGUGGGUUUUGAUAAAUAAAUAAGAAAAAUGGGAAGUUAGUAGGUAACUAAGUAAAAAGUUGUAGAGUGACUGAUUUGAGUGACUAAAAAAAACUUGAGUUCACUGUGCUGCAGAGCGCUGUGUCUGCAGGCAGUUUGUGACUCAUCCCUAAGGUAUGUGGAGGAGUGAGAGGAGCAUCAGAGCAGUUAAAAGAGAUAAGUCUGCAAAAAAUUAAGAGUGGUUGAAUAUAAAGAGGAAAAUAGACACUGCCGCUGAAAAAUAAUGCUGUUGUUUAAGGAAUUUAAACAGAAAGAUCUGUAGAAAAAAUAUUUGUCAAGCAGCAACAUGAAGUAAGUUGGAAGAUUUGUGGGUAAAUUUCAGUAAAAGAAGAUAUUAAUUGCCAAAAUAGGGAUAAUGAGUAAAUAGGGAUUGCAGGCACUUUUUUUGGAUUAUUAGCUUAAUAAAAGUAUGACCAAAAGUUAAAUAAAUUGGAAAUAGAGCUGCUUGACUAAAGUAAAAUAAAAAAGGAUAACCUAACCUAGAGCUAAAUUAUAACAUAUCCAAACUAAUAACAGUAAGAAUGAGAACUAUAAACUAAUUCUAAUAAUAAAACAUAGCUGGGAUAAAACUAAAAUAAUUAGAAGGAAAUUAAAUAAAUCACACAAACAAAUAAUAAAUGAAAUAGGGAGGUCUGUGCUGUGUUUGGAGAAAUAUAGAAGGCAGUGGUGAUGAUCUAAGAACAUCUGAACAUCUUAGUACGGAACGAGAGAUAGAGACUAAAUAAAUAAGAACAUGUUUGGGCAACAAUGAAGAUAAGAGAGUCAAAACAGCAUCCAUAAAUCGAUCUCAGUAAAAUGCAGGAGUUGUAAAAGAAUCUAAUAAUGUCUCAGAGUUUGCAUGUGAAAUGUUUAUUGAGGGUUUGUUAUCACUCACCAAAGAGGAGUGCAAGAGAAGUAAAUAAUGAAGUUUUGCUUGUUGUAGAGAGUUCUGCCGAGGGGUCAUAAACUCACCCAAAAGCAUACAGAGAGUGCAAGAGGCACCUGAGUAAUAUGAUGUGAAAUGAAUGAUUGUUGGAAAUACAUUGUGUGAAGCUUAGAGGAGUUCAGAAUAAACAGGCUGACAUGUGGGGUGAAGCGGUAAUGAGGACGAAUAAUGAACAAAUUAACAAAAAGAGACACCUAGAGAUCUGUUUAAAAUGCUGCCGUCACAAAUAAGUAGUUGGGAAGAGAAAAGAAGGUAGACAGGUUAUAGUGAAGUGAAAUAGAAAAGUUUUGUUGGAAAUGGUGGUUUAAUAAGUCAGAGAUUGUGACUUAACAAUUUAAAGUAAAGUUUAGCGCCUGUUGAGUGUUGUACUGAGAGAGCUCACAUCAGCUGAGCCGCUGCUGCAGGAGGCGGCCUGUAAACACCGUCACAGGGUGUAGCUGGCUCAAGUUGCUCUGACUGUGGAGUGUGUGGGGUGGGCCCCGACAUCCUGCCAAGAGUGUCCUUGACCAGUGCACAGGCUUUGAAACGAUCUAAGCCAAAUGCGAGUGUGUGAGAAGAAGAGUAAAAGACUGAAGUGCAUGUCUCAAAGAGGUUAUUGUUAUGGUGAGCUUGUGCGAAGCUCAGAGGAGUCAUCUGAGACAGGAAGCAAAAUUGUUUGCUUAAAACAGAAAAAGAAAAAGAUGUAACUUGUUUGUAAAUUUUAGGUCCCACAUCAGUGAAGAUGCUUAAACAAGUGAUCAAAUGCUGAGUACUAUGAACAAAAAACAACAAAAAAUGUAAAAAAGAAUAGUGCCCAUUAGAGUGAGGAACAGGAAGAAAGAAGCUCUAAAUUUGAGAAUAAAAUAUUAAAUUAAACACUUGGGACGAAAAUGAUAAGGCCAGUAAACUGGUUCUCAGGUAAAUUAAAAUAAAUAUAAUAAACUAUUAAAAUAAGAACAGGGAAGUAAGACAGAACUGAAUGACAGAGGGGCAUAAGACAUAACAGUAGAGAAGUAGUGGAAAGAAUUGAGAAUAAUAUAAUUCAGUGAGUAAACAAAAAGCCUAAAUACAAUGAAAACUGAUUAGAGUGUUAUGGUAACAAUAACAAGACAGUAAUUAGAAAGAUAUGAUAAAUAAUUCCAUUAAGUGUAAUAGUAAAGUAAGAGGAAGAGUAGGAAUGAAUGCAAAGUGAUUACACCUGAGCACUUUAGAAAAAAAUAAAAAGUUUAAAUCUAAAGAAAAAGAAUAUUUGGCUGGGAAAUGAAAUAACAGAAAUAAAAUUGUGGGAUGCAUGGCUGGUUAACCUGCAGCUGUGGAUCAUUAGAAAUGCUGAUCAAUAAAUAAAAAGCAUGAUUAGAUAUUGUAUGGGGGAAGGGAUUAAUAAAGGGAUCAUUGGUAUCUAAAACACUCGCCUUGAUGCUGGUCAGACUGUGUGUAAUCCUUCUUCUAUAGCUAUAAGAGAAAUAACAUUUAGAAGAGCUUCAGAGGUGCGUGACAUAAGAGGGCCUUAACCCUUUGGGGCCUCGAGUGUCAGGCUUGAAUCAGGAAAUAUUUAAGUUUUAAGAGUCCCAAAACAUCAGAGUGAUUUUUACCAUCCAAGAAAGUAAAUAAAUAAAUAAAUUGAACUUUAUACAUUUAAGGAAUAACUUGCAAAAUGCUGUCUUUAGCAAAUGCAAUAUGGUAAUUCUUACAUAUGCAAAAUUAAUAUUGUUUUUAAUUUGUCAAGUUUAAUAGGUAUUGUGACAAAAUUUGGGGGUAAUUGUUUCAGUAAUCAGGGUUUUGAAUAGUGAUGGGGUUGAUCCCACAGCUGCAUCUUGUCACUUACAGGAAAGUUGGGCAGAAAAACAUAAAACUGUUGUAUAUGAUAAUAAAGCCCCUAUGAUCUUGUUUUAGUUUUACAAGAAAAAUAAAAGCAAAUAUAGAUAAAUCUCUGCUAAAUCUAAGCUCCCUGAAUAAGCAGUGUGCAUCAUGCAGGUGGAGAUACACAGGAGCAGGGUUUGGAGGGGAUGACAUAGCCUUUGUUCCAGCAAAAGCUGGUGAUUAGAAAGAAAACACAUUGACCUAAAAUGCAAUAAGGAGAAAUCAAAAUUUGAGCCUUUGUAUUAAAAAAACCACGACAAAAGUGAUUAUGGCUUAGAGGAGGAGAGGUAAACACGAGAAAGUCAGAGAUGUAGGACAGGUGGGACAAAGACAGUUGUGAGUCAGAGGAAAGGACGCUAAAUAGGAGAAUUCAAAGACCAGGAGUAAGAUAAUGAAGAGUAACAUGAGGUCGAGCUCACAGGCAAAAGGGAAAAAAAAAGGUGGAGCAAAUGAAAACAGUUACUAACUAACUGAUGUAUGCACAUACUCGAAACAAUGACUCUCCUGCUAUGAAAAAAAAAAAAAGAAGGAAAUAACUCCUUACAGAUGAAGGAGCUCACCAACUGAAGGGGAGAAACACAGAGCACCAGUGAAAGACACCAGGCCAUGAGCCUGUGGAGUAGAGCAACACUGGCACUGCGAAGGCCUAUGUCACUGAUGAGGCCUGUACAAGGGUGGAGAGGAGGAGUCAGCUGUAUGACGACAUCCAAUGGUUGGCACAUGUGAAAGCCCAGGAACUGCAGAGAGGAGGGUCCAAGUGAAGAUCCACAAUUCAUGAAACUGAGUCUCCUCGAGUCUAAUGAAAGACUCUAUCUGCAGAGGGCUGGAAAAGUGUAUUAAAACACACUUUUAGUCAGCUGACAUACUCAUCAAUCUGCUGAGGACUGACAAUCGAUGGCCUCUACGAGCCAACAUCGUCAGCAUCUGGGAUGUUCUCUGUGUGGAUGUUCCUGGAGAACUCCGAGAGGAAUGUGGGCAGCACCAUAACAACAAGGAAGUUACUGCCAAGAGAAAUCUUCAGUACAUGGACUGUGACUGAUACCAGAGUACCUAACUAUCCAUGAUAUCUGCAGUGAACAACAUGAAGCAGCUGCAUCAGUAAUGCUCCCAACAAACUAAUAAGUUUAAAGCCCUGGGCUCCACUCCUUGUGUUACUCUCCCAGUAGAAAAAGAACACAAAUAAUAAGAACUAGGCCACAUGAAAGCAUUAGAUAGGAGAUUAUUAAAAAUAUAUUCAUUACUAACACUCUUACAUUAGAAUAUUAUUUAAGGUUAGGAUAGUUUAAUACAUAAAGGGUGCAGACAUGACUCUCACUGACACUAGAACAGAUACACACAGAGCAUUAGAACCCCAGUAGGGUAUGGGACAGAUAAGUAAACUUAGAGAAGUUAUUAAUCACCUUAUGAGCAUUGCAUUAUUGAAGGGAUGAAACGUACACAUGGGGAUUUACUAAAAGUUGGGGUACUGAUGAAACUCAGAAUCCCUGGUAACAUGAAAUGAGAAAUUUAAACAUCUGCUGUUUCUGACCCUGGUACACUGCUCUUGGGUAUCCCCCUGACAUGUAUGUAACUGUGUGGGUGCAAAUGUGUACAUAUGUGUAAAUCUGUAUGCAGAUAUGAAAAAUAAUCUGUCUUUUAUCUUUUUCAGUGCAGCUACAUAUAGACCAGUGGCAGCUACCUCAGUUCAUGUGUUGAAGCUAAUAGUAAGAUGCUAGCUCUAAACGUGCAGCACUAAACUAUCCACAGUGCUAUAAUUGAGUGUGUGAGCAAUUUGUAGUUACUUUCAAACAAAAUAAAAAUAAAAAUGAAUGCAGUGUGGAGGAGAAAGCAGCGAAGGAUUCUGUCAUAAUCUUAACUGCAUUGGGAAAAGGGGGGAACAUAUAGCUUAGCAGAGCUAAAUUGUUAACUCUCCCAAGGAAUGAACCAAAAAAAAAAAAACCAAAAAUUUAGGAGAAAAUCUAAAUUAUCAGAUAUUUUGGAGGGAAAGAGGCUAAAGCCUGAUCCCCUGUAAAAAAUGCAAACCUCAAAUUAGAAAAAUGGGGCCUAAAUUAGCUUUCCUGUGUGUGGCAGGGUCCAGUUGUCUGUGGAUUGACAUAUUUAAAUUACUCAAAUGCUUACUCUAGCAAAAACUGCAUAGCUAAAUGACUCUAUUCUAGUUCUAUUCUAGUUACAGUGUGAAGAGGUAGAGUUUGAAGCACUGAGGAGGGACAUGCAGUCUGACCGGGCACUUGGCAACCAAAAGGAAAGAGAAGAACAUUCCAUUGGUAUGGGGCAAACUGGGAAGAUUAAGGUAAGGCAGAGUUGAGUCAGCAUGAUUAAACCUUCAUAGGUGAGCAACUACUGACCUAGUAAAAUCCAAAUUUACAAACUGUUGAAGUAGACCUUUAACCCUGCAACUAGAACUGCUUGUUUUUCAGGAGGUCUCAAUGUUCCUCAUGGCCAUCCAGGUGUAUUGUAAACAUAACACCAGUUACAUGUAUUAUUUACGGUUCAUAAUUUACUAUCACUCAAGUUAAGGAAAAUGGGGUGUGAAGUAAUUGUCUGCCUCAGAGUCCACCACCAAAAUGUGUAACAAGAUUACAGUUAGGGAAUUUCUUAUGAUUACUGUCUAUAAACAAUCCAUGCAUGGCUGAGAAAAGUUUUUUAUUAGUCUAAUACAGCUGUUUUAGCUUUUCAAUGGCGACUUUUCUAUAAGAACAAAGGCUGUCAAGCUGUAUAUUAUUCAACUCAAGGUUGAACAGGUAUGAAAUUAUGAUGCCAGUCAUUUAAGGGCACUUUAUUAUCCAAGGAUAAACUGCAAAAAUAAAACAUUACAAAACGAUUAUUUAUCUGACCCCCUUUUAGCAAGAAACUUGGAGAGGAGGAACUCCGUUUUUAACAGGAAUAAAUGCCCAGUAGAACUGGGCACAGGGGGGAGUGGUCAUCUGCUGUGACCAGCUGAGUAAGGAGGAGGAGACAGGACUAAAAACAUGCUGUGUAGGAGAGCCAGAGAUUGAUAAUAACUAAUAAUAACUCAAAAGAGAGACCUAAAAACCGGAGGCCUGGCUUCCCAUUCUACUUUUAAAUAUUCUAGUAAGCUUAAAGUUUGAGAGUGAAGUGGGGAGAUACAGUACUAUAGGAGCAGGAUGGUAAUUAAAAAAACAGAUUUAACAAGGAGCCUAUGAAGAAAAGUCAAUAGGAGAAAUAUACUCUGUCAUUCUAGUCCCUUUCAGUAUUCAUGUGCAACAUUUUGAUGUAGUUGACCACAACCUGAUAAUGAUAAAAGGACAGCCUAGAAGUAAUAAAUGCAUGAAUUUGUCUUUCAGCAUCACUCUGGGACAGGACUUUAGAGAUAUUGCAGAAAUUGAAGAAAGCAGUCCUUAAUAUUCGCAUAUUAGCACAUAUUGGGAUAAAAAUAACUCAUGGAAACCUCACAGUGUUAAUGGAGACCAAGGUAAUGCCAUUCAGAGCAUUCCUUUAGGUUGACUGACAGGUGUGUGGUGUUUGGCUUCAUGGAUGAAUGAGAGAGAGGGUGUCAUCAGCACGGCAGAGCAUCUCUUGUGGGGAUUUUUGACAUAAAGGAAAGUUGGAGGCCUAUAAUUGGCUAGGACAGUUAGGUCAAGUGAUGGUUUUUGAGUGAUGGUUUAACUACUGCCAAUAGGAAGAACUGUGUGGUCAAUGUGGCAUUGUCUAACUUAGCUUUGAAAAUUCCAAUUCGGCGGCUAUAGAGGUGUGGGAAGUUUGAUCAGCCAUAUAGCCAGCAACGCUAAGUUUUGGGCUAACAGUGCUAAUGAUGAAUUGUGAAUUGGCAGCCGGUAACAGAGUUAAUGUUUAUCCAAAUUCAGCUUAUAAAUAUGAAGAGGCAAUAACCCAGCUAGUAGUCGCCCUAAAGCUCACUAGUCCUGUGGCUGUGAUUAGAUGUCUUGAUCACCAGAAAACAGACACAUUAAUACCUAAAUGAAACAACAUGUUAGAGCUUUACUAUGCACUUCCUAAAUUGAUAGCUAGGUAAAGAUAAGUAAAGCUUUCUGUUUAUAACAGCAUUUGAGACAAACAUUUCAAAGUACUCCACAAAAUAAAGCAAUGAAUUGGAAUUUGUUAAGGAAGAGGUCAACUGGGUACAAAUAUUAACUCUAGUACUAAGGUGCAUGCAGUUGUGAACUAACAAGACUACAACAACUAACACUGCAUGGCAUACUCACAAAUGUCCAUAGAUAAGUCCUCAUAAAGGGCCUGUAUUGCUAACUGUGAACAAAACUAAUGCAGUCUGCGAAGUUAUCUUUCUGCAGGUGGAGAUGGCAUCUGGAUAACAGAUGGAGAUGCAGAGGUCCUGGAGCAGGUGCUGGCAAUCUGAUGACGAGUGCGAGGGGACAACGGAGUGAAACAGGCUGCUCCAGACAGCUGAACCAUGACCCAUCCAGUAGCUGUUGAAUCUGCUGCAGAGCCUACAGCCCAGGUGGAGCCGUACAGUGCCCAAACCAGCUUCCGAAUGAUGGAUGUGCAAGAUCAACUACUACCCAUCGCCAACCCUGACUUUAAUCAAGAGUAGAACCAAGUCGUCUCGAGUAUUCUUAGAAGGUAUGCAAGAUCCAGCAGUCAAGAAGUACCAAGAGAGACUUUUCUCGGACUCAUAAAUUGGUUGAAAUAUGGACUGAAAAAGGGACACAAGUUGAGUAAAGGUUGAAGCUGCUGCAGAGAAAUGUCAACCUUGAAGCUAACAAAGGACAUUUCAAAGCCCACACUGAGAAGUCUGUUCAGAAGAAGUUGCACCUGACCAAGAUGAAAUCCAAAAUUGGGAAUUAAUUGUUUAAUCGUGUUAUUUUUAAUGUCACUUAUGGUGUUGUGUAAUCCAUGUAUGUAUUAUGUGUCUCUGCUGAUGUGUUUUAUGCCUUACUUUCAUUUUCCUGUAAUUAGGCUGAUUUUUAAGUUUCUUGAGUAUUCUGUUAAGGAUACUGUGUAGUAUGAUUUGCAAAUGAAGAUGAAUCAAUUUGUCUUAAAUUAAUUGACUAAGAGAAAUGGAAUGUUGGGAGAAUGUUAUGUUGAUGACUAUGAGGGUUUUGGUGGAAGGAAGGGCUUAUUCAUUUGAGCAAUAACUGUGUGGGAUCUUUAUACAAAUUCUUAUGUUCUAUUUACAGCUUGCUUUAAAAUAUGUUAGCAAAAAAACAGCGCACGCAUUAGUUUUCACAAUUUUUGUUCUUCUUUAGUCAUGGGGUCUUUUUAGGUGGUACCUCCAGGUACCACAGGGGGGAAUGUGGUGGAUUUUUGUUUGAUAUGUAUAACUAUGUAACUAUAUACACUAUAUAUCUAUGCGCACUGAACAUAUAUAUUUUAACUUUCAUGUAGAGUCUUAAGCACAAGACAUUUUGCUUCACCGAGGUUUAUUAAGUUGGUACAGUAACAGGGCAGUUAAUGUAGGGUGAGAGUUCUCUUGAAUAAUUUACUUAAUAAUUAAUUAAUUUAACGUCUUUAAUGCAGCACAACCAAAACAGUAACAUUGUAAUAGAGAUCCUGAACACAUCACGAUAAAAUAUCAUACAAAAUACACACACACACACACACACACACACACACACACACACACUCUGAACCCACACUGAAGUGUUUUUAAGCAUGUAACCUGUGUAUUAUAUGUUAUAAGAUUGUGCCACUUGCUGUAUAAGAUUUAAUAAUUAGGAUUAAUGUGUGACCUUUGACCAUGUUGUGACCUAUUGUCAGAGGGUAAAGCAAAGGGUUAACCUAUUGGUGUCACUUUGGACCGGGCCCUCAGCCAGCGCCAGGUGUGAACUCUGGUCGCUACCUGACCCCAGCAGCUGUGCUGGGCGUGUGGGAAAGUUACCCAGCAGCAGGGGGCGGCGACACUGGUCCCUAUAUUAGGGGACCAGAGGACGCCCCCAGGGCUCUUUUUCCUCCUGCUGCUGCUACCUGUCCGUCUCUGUGUUGCUCUGCUGUCUGUGCUUAAGGCUGUACACCCCGGGGUUUUGCUUUGCUUGUUUUCUGCUCUGUAAUUUUCUUGCUAAAUGUCUGUAUGUAUUUUUCC
ensembl:lncRNA